CAGCAGCCGCGGUAAUACCGAGGGUGCAAGCGUUAAUCGGAAUUACUGGGCGUAAAGCGCGCGUAGGUGGUUUGUUAAGUUGGAUGUGAAAUCCCCGGGCUCAACCUGGGAACUGCAUCCAAAACUGGCAAGCUAGAGUAUGGUAGAGGGUGGUGGAAUUUCCUGUGUAGCGGUGAAAUGCGUAGAUAUAGGAAGGAACACCAGUGGCGAAGGCGACCACCUGGACUGAUACUGACACUGAGGUGCGAAAGCGUGGGGAGCAAACAGGAUUAGAUACCCCUGUAGUCCCUGUCUCUUAUAA
rnacentral:rRNA from 1 species